CGUGUAGGCGGUUUCUUAAGUCUGAUGUGAAAGCCCCGGGCUCAACCCGGGAAGUGCAUUGGAUACUGGGAGACUUGAAUACGGGAGAGGGUAGUGGAAUUCCUAGUGUAGGAGUGAAAUCCGUAGAUAUUAGGAGGAACACCGGUGGCGAAGGCGGCUACCUGGACCGAUAUUGACGCUGAGACGCGAAAGCGUGGGGAGCAAACAGGAUUAGAUACCCUGGUAGUCCACGCCGUAAACGAUGAGAACUAGGUGUUGCGGGUAUUGACCCCUGCAGUGCCGAAGCUAACGCAUUAAGUGCUCCGCCUGGGGAGUACGGUCGCAAGGCUGAA
rnacentral:rRNA from 1 species